CAGGAUACAGAUAAAAGCAAUCACUCCAGAACUGCAUGAGGUGCCUGGGUCCACAUUUGCAGAACUGGUGGACAGUUCUGGUCAUUAAUGAUAAGGAGAACUGGCGUGAGCCAGUGCAAUCUGCAUCUGAAUUUGCCUGAUAAAAUUUGUUUUUCUGGAAGAGCGUGGAUGAUAGUGGUUAAGUGGCAGGGUUGUUUACAUGUUAAUAUUGAGGCCAUUGCUAUACCUGGGUGAAAUGGGGGUAGAAGAGGCCUGUUAGUAGGUUGUCCACAAUAGUUUACAUCACAUAAGCCAGAAUGUAGAGGAUCAAUCUGUUCUAAGUUUAGUUUUCUCUUAAUUUAAAUUAGAAGUAACUACUAAAUUGAAUUACUCUAAGUUUUUAAUGAAAUAAGAAAAGGGAGGAUCUUUAUUCAUCAUCAGGAACUCUGAUAGUAGCUACUUAAAACUUUUUCGCAAGACGUGGUAAGGUGACUAAUUUUUUUGUUUCAUUUUGCAACAUGGGAAACUGCCACCUCCAUUUCCUAGAGCCGUUCUGGUCGGGGAGAUGCUCUGGGUAAAUCUGGUUGAACCACUCUCUGUCCUCUGUUGAAACUUCCACAGCUCAGGAGGGACAGCAAGCUUGAACGUGCCAGCAGGACAGUAAACAGGAAAUAACAGUAUUCGUAGCAGCACAGGAAAAUAAGCAAAAUAAAAUGAAAAGUUUGGUGUCAUUCUAAGAGCAACAAGAAGAACUGGACAGUGCCUGCUGUAAACUCAGCAUUCAUCCUGGCACCAGGAAGAAACUGCAAAAUCAUUUCUCUGAAAUUUUAAUGAACUCCGACGAGAAUGCUGCUGGUUAAUGGACUUUAUGCAAUGGGCGGAAACUCAUCCAUUCACAGUCCAACUUUUCAUGAGGUUGGCUUGGUUUGCUAAUAUUCAUUAUCACUUUACAUCUACCUCUUUUGAAUGCUGGUGUGGAUGCAGCUGAUCUCAAAAAUCUAACCUUGUGCUUGACUUUGUUCCAAGCCAGGAUGAGAAGUGCAUGGAGCACCAGAGGGAUCUCAGUGGAAUUUGAUUGCAAUUCUUUUACUGUCUGGACUGUGUGAGCAUGUCUGUACCACACAGUCAAUGCUACAUCACAUCAAGAUACUGGAAUAAGCUCUGCAUGAGGCAGGAUUUGCAUGGGAAGCAGCACAGCCACUGCACCCAAGCUAAGAUACCCCUUGUUUCAGUAGGGUCCUUUGCCUCUGGGGGACACCAAACAAGCAGAGACACAGUGUUUGUAGGUCCCUUCUUCUGACAUCUUUUUGUGUUAGCACAAUGUGAAGUAAAGGUGUAACUCCAACUUUUUCUGUUGCCACUGUUUCACUUCCCAGAAAUACUCUAGUGUUCACGAAGAUACAGAGCAUGUGGGAACUACUGUUUAGAUUUUGAGCCAGUGAGCCCACGCAUACCGGUAACAAUCACAAACACAACAGCCUUUUCUGUAUGAAAUAAAAGUGUGCUUAUCCAAAUCAGUUUACAGGAUUGGAAACUUAAAAAAAAAUUUCACAAUUUCCAUUUUGUGGAACCAUUUUGAACAACUUUUAAUUCACAUGACAAGGAUUUUAGGACUUUAACAUUUUCAUCAUUAAACAACAUUUUAUUUCAGAUUAAAAUAAAAUAUUCUUUCUAAAUGCAUGACAAUAAAACCUGAUGUCUUAGCUCCCCAUACUUGCUCCUCUGAGAAAAUAAAGUGUCAAAUACCCUAAAUUCCACACUCUGGAGCAAUUUAGAUCUCCUUAGAGAUCACAGUUUGAACUACAAAUGCAAUAAGGGCUGCAUCCUGCUGUAGCUGAAAUCCUUCCUAAGUCUACUUCUGCUUUUCAAUCUCUCUAAUUUUUCAUUAGAUCAAGAGUCACACAUUUUUGUUGGCAGUAAAGCAAUUCCAAUUUGAACUGCCUUCUGUCUUCAAUAGGAAUUUUCCCAAAGUACAGAAAUAAAAAUGUAAAACUUUGCUGUGUUUCAUUACUUUCAUUCUUUUGAACAUUGCGGCUCUGAAAGCUCUGUGUGAAAUUAUUAGAAGAUGGGUUUUGAAAUGCUUGUGAAAGUAGAUGCAUAUAUGGGACUCAAAGGGCCUUAUUUAAAAAAGAAAUUUGCCAGUUACCCAGAUCUCUGGUUGGUUAUGCCCAUUCAAGGAUACAGAAUCCAUCAUUCCUAUGAUUAUUUUUACAUCUGAACUUUUUUUUUUAUACUAGAUAGACUUGAAACUUUCAGGGUCAUUUGCCCAGCAUGUAGUUGAAUGUCCUGUGCUAUAGAUUCCAAUUAGCAAGACCAUGUUCAAUGGUCCUACACCUCCAAUGCUGUCUAACUGCUUUCCACUUGGCUUUAUAUGUUUCUUCUUUGUUGCAGCUGCAACCAGGUCUAUCUACCCUUUGAUAGAAAAAUUUCAAUUACCCCAGGGAGAAGCUUUUAGCUUUAUUAAGCAUUGAAGUCUACACAUUUGUUCUUCUGUUGAAGAGCAGUUCAAAAGGAGACUUUCUGAGGAAGUAAUCUGAUAAAUUAGGAUAAAUCUUGUGGACUUUCACUGCUAAUGUUUUUCCUGUAGUCUGAGCCUAAGAAUCUGCCAACUCAAUGUACAGUUAAGCAUUUCUUUAACACUUUUAGCCACUGACAGAUGUUUCUUAUACUUUACAAGUAAAUGGCUCUUCAGUGUUUUUUGAGACUGCUGUGCUCUCAGCAUAAAAUUGAUGUCACAGAAGGCUGGAGAGCUGUGCUCCAGCCUUGAUAGACAGUGACAGAAAACUGUUCCCAUCUGGUGGCUCUGUACUGGCCUCUGAGUAAACUAAUGGUUUCCUUUCUGAGACGAUGGGUGUCAGCUCAUCACCUCCCUGCUGCCCAGAGUAACCUCAGUUAUCUCAGGAAAAGCAAGGCCUGCAUACACCAGGUCUCUAAUCUGCCCUCGCUUUGUUGUCAUUGGCCUCUCGGGGGAGUGGGGUGGCCAAGUGAGGUGGAGGAAAGCUGGCAAUAACACUGUUGUAAGUCACAUCUCUUUGUAGAUAAAAAAAAAAGGAGCUGCUCUUCCUAAUGCUGUCAAUCUUGUAUUUUAUUUCAUUGGUGGGUUCAUUUAUGCCAGUAAAUAAGGCUGUCAUUUCUGCUUUUUAGUGUUUGAGAAUUCCACAAAAGUUUCACGUCGCUGGUUUGAAAUCGAAUCUUUCAUUAUUGUCUCUAUCUUGCAAAUUAAUUUAUUACUGUAUUUGAAGUCCUAAAUGCCUCUUGAGAGAACUGAACAUACAGUCUAACAAUCUACCCAUAAAGAGCAAACAUGAGUUACACAUUUAAAGAAGAU